rnacentral:rRNA from 1 species
UACGUAGGGUGCAAGCGUUGUCCGGAAUUAUUGGGCGUAAAGAGCUCGUAGGCGGUUUGUCACGUCGGAUGUGAAAACCCGAGGCUUAACCUCGGGCCUGCAUUCGAUACGGGCUGACUAGAGUUCGGUAGGGGAGACUGGAAUUCCUGGUGUAGCGGUGAAAUGCGCAGAUAUCAGGAGGAACACCGGUGGCGAAGGCGGGUCUCUGGGCCGAUUACUGACGCUGAGGCGCGAAAGCUAGGGGGGCAAACGGG